AUGGAGAAGGAGCUCUCUGCCGACGCGCUAGCCUGCGACUACUGCAGCGGCCCACAGGCGGUCGUGUACUGCCGGGCCGACAGCGCCAGGCUCUGCCUGCCGUGCGACCGCCUCGUGCACGCCGCCAACGCGGUCUGCUCCCGCCACCUGCGCGCCCUGCUCUGCGCCGCAUGCCGCGCAACCGGGGCCGUCUUCCGCCACGCUGGUACCGAAUUCCUCUGCUCCAACUGCGACUUCGGGAGGAGCCGGGACGCCGAGCUGCCGCUGCACGACCGCUGCACAGUCCAGGGGUACACGGGACGACCCUCGGCGCACGACCUCGCCGCUCUUCUCGGGGUCCCCGACUUCGACAAGCCCUCGGCCGGCAAAGCCGACGACGGUUGGUGGGCCAUCUGGGAGGAGCCCCAGGUGUUCCGCCUGGAGGAUCUCAUCGUGCCCACCACUUCUUGCCAUGGCUUCCAGCCCCUCGUGACGCCGUCCUCGCCCAAGGUACAUGACAUGCUCGCUGUCUGCCAAAAUUCUCCAGUUUUCUGCUCUUGCUCUGAAUUCUCACACCUAGCUCUAACUCAUCUGCAAAAGAUCCACAACUCACCCGAUGGAAAGACCAACGAUGAGGUCAUACGGCAGUUACGUGAGCUCGCCGAGGUCGACAUGGGCAGCGGUCAGAUAACACCUCGUGAGGAGGCAGAGCAAGCUGCUCAUCAGUUGCCUUCCUGGACAGAGUCACAGCACACCACUGGAAAUGGCGAUUUCGGCAUAGAUAACAGCCACGAGGUUGCAACCAUGCCAACCCCUGGUUAUGAGAACGGCGGAUGGAACAACAACGAUUAUCAUGCCCUAAAUGGUGCCUCCAAGACCGAGUACGAACAGAAGCAGGCUCCAGCAAGCUCAGCUGAAGCAUGCUUGUCAUCGUUUGUUCAGAUGUCAGAACUUUGCCCCAGCAUGAGCAAUGGUAGCAUGAUGGACGAUGGCCAGCAGGCAAAUCCUGGUACUGGCAUGCCAAUGCAAGCUUUCCCCAAAAGAAGUGGCUUUGAUGUUGUUGCUGGCCCUGACCGCGACAUUGUCAUUUCCCGCUAUAAAGAAAAGAGGAGGACAAGAAGAUUCGACAAACAGGUGCGAUAUGAGUCCCGCAAAGCUCGUGCGGACAGCAGGUUGAGGAUCAAGGGGCGUUUUGCAAAGGCAAAUCAGAGUUAA
rnacentral:rRNA from 1 species